GUGAGGAAUAUUGGUCAAUGGGCGAGAGCCUGAACCAGCCAAGUCGCGUGAAGGAAGAAGGAUCUAUGGUUCGUAAACUUCUUUUGCAGGGGAAUAAAGUGCAGGACGUGUCCUGUUUUGUAUGUACCCUGAGAAUAAGGAUCGGCUAACUCCGUGCCAGCAGCCGCGGUAAUACGGAGGAUCCGAGCGUUAUCCGGAUUUAUUGGGUUUAAAGGGUGCGUAGGUGGUUUGAUAAGUCAGUGGUGAAAGUUUGCAGCUUAACUGUAAAAAUGCCGUUGAAACUGUCGGACUUGAGUGUAAAUGAGGUAGGCGGAAUGCGUGGUGUAGCGGUGAAAUGCAUAGAUAUCACGCAGAACUCCGAUUGCGAAGGCAGCUUACUAAGCUACAACUGACACUGAAGCACGAAAGCGUGGGGAUCAAACAGGAUUAGAUACCCCUGUAGUCC
rnacentral:rRNA from 1 species